AAACGUAUUUCUUAUGGAUUUUUUUUCAUACUAAAAUCCAUAGGAAAUGCCGUUUCCUAUGGAUUUUUAGCUAAAAUCCACAGAAAAUGAGGACUUUUCUUGUAGUGUCAAUAGGCAUAAAUCUUAGAAUCACACUAUACUUUAUUUUGCAUAUACUAAAAAUUUUUUAAUCAUCAAAAAGAAGAAGAUUGUUGACCUAUGGAUUAAUUUGAAAUAUUUUAGAAGCCUUUAUAAUAGAAGAGUCAAUCCCAAGUUAACUAUAAGUUAAUUCUUUCAGGA
rnacentral:lncRNA from 1 species